rnacentral:rRNA from 1 species
CAGUCGCCGCGGUAAUACGAAGGGGGCUAGCGUUGCUCGGAAUCACUGGGCGUAAAGGGUGCGUAGGCGGGUUUCUAAGUCAGGGGUGAAAUCCUGGAGCUCAACUCCAGAACUGCCCUUGAUAUUGGAAGUCUUGAGUAUGGGAGAGGUGAGUGGAACUGCGAGUGUAGAGGUGAAAUUCGUAGAUAUUCGCGAGAACACCAGUGGCGAAGGCGGCUCACUGGCCCAUAACUGACGCUGAGGCACGAAAGCGUGGGGAGCAAACAGGAUUAGAUACCCCAGUAGUCCCUGUCUCUUAUAC